CCACUGCACUGGAAAAAGGAAGACGAGCGUGCGCAUGCUCCGUAAAUAGCGUGUCACAGGAUGAGUCGUAGACACGCCAUGCUGCACAGGAUUUACAACUCUGCCCCUAGCGAGCUGGAGCGGUCCUUACACUAAUGAAAGCAGUCAACAGCCACAGUCAACAGUUACUCUGAUUCGCAUUAUGGUAGCUGUAAGAAGUACCUGACUAUGCCGGACUUUUGUGCAGCCUACGGAUGCUCCAAUCGCCGCUGUCUGCAAACAAGAACCCGUGGGAUCACCUUUCACCUGUUUCCCAAAACCGAAGAGAGGAGGAGGCAGUGGGAACUCGCCCUAAGAAGGGACGGUUUUGUUUCCUGUGACAGGACACUGUUCUGCAGUGAGCACUUCAGGAGUGAGGAAUUUGACCGGACAGGGCAGACUGAUUGAUUGUUGGUGUGCCAUGUGUCACCGUGUGUCUUAUUGGUUUUGUGUUAUACUGUAUUUUAUUGUGUGCAGCUGGUCCUUAUCUCCAAGACACAUUUAAAACAAAUAACCUUGAA